rnacentral:rRNA from 1 species
CGCUGGCGGCGUGCUUAACACAUGCAAGUCGAACGGGAUCCAUCAAGCUUGCUUGGUGGUGAGAGUGGCGAACGGGUGAGUAAUGCGUGACCGACCUGCCCCAUACACCGGAAUAGCUCCUGGAAACGGGUGGUAAUGCCGGAUGCUCCAGUUGAUCGCAUGGUCUUCUGGGAAAGCUUUCGCGGUAUGGGAUGGGGUCGCGUCCUAUCAGCUUGACGGCGGGGUAACGGCCCACCGUGGCUUCGACGGGUAGCCGGCCUGAGAGGGCGACCGGCCACAUUGGGACUGAGAUACGGCCCAGACUCCUACGGGAGGCAGCAGUGGGGAAUAUUGCACAAUGGGCGCAAGCCUGAUGCAGCGACGCCGCGUGAGGGAUGGAGGCCUUCGGGUUGUAAACCUCUUUUAUCGCGGGAGCNAGCGANAGUGAGUUUACCCGUUGAAUAAGCACCGGCUAACUACGUGNCAGCAGCCGCGG